CGCGUAAGUUCUUUGUAUUUGGUUAGAAUAAGAGAUAAAAACAGAACAAAUCAGAUUUUAUUACCUUACCUUGACAUGAUAUAAUAUACUUUUUGCCUCAUAUUCACAUCACUUUAUUUACUUAGUACCAAAUAUACAUUCACUGUAAACUUUUCCGUACGGCAUAUAGUUUCAGAUCUCAGGCCCUCUAAGUCACAACUUAGACAGUCACACUUGAAGAAAAAAAAACAAUUCUAAAUGAGCAAAGCUGAAUUCAAAAUGAGCAAAGCUGAAGGCAUUUUGAAACGCGGAGAUCGAAAGUGGAUCUUCAACCCUCGAGUUUGGGGCGGUCAUCUGAAGAAGGACCCUUCACUGGUGCUUCUGACUACUAUUGUGAGCGGAGCUUGUGCUGUGGCGGUCGUCGCUCUGAUCCGACACUCACUCUAUAACCCGGAUGUUCACUUUAGAGACAAGAGAACCCGAAGCACCUCUCGGUUCGACUACAACACUCGAUUUAAAUUUCUCAACCCCUCCGGCCGAGAUUACAAGAGUUACGUGAACUAUGAACCGAAACUGUAACACUUAUACGACUUGAAGACGACUUAGAUCCGGGUACCUUUGACUUAUAGAAGUAAAAUAGUGCAUAACUGGACUACAAUACUUAAAAGAGUAACACAGACUUUAUUUUCCUCGAAAUCAGACUAAGCUAUCAAUGCGUCUGGAAACUUACUUUGCUGUGAAUUAAUUUUGCAUCAAUGGGAUAUGGUCAAAAAUGAUCAAACCAAUUUUAAUUGUUUCCAAUGCAGAUACGGACAUACUGGACUGUAAACUUGAAAUUGAAUUAGAGAUCA